CCUACGGGGGGCUGCAGUGGGGAAUAUUGGACAAUGGGGGAAACCCUGAUCCAGCAAUGCCGCGUGUGUGAAGAAGGCCUGCGGGUUGUAAAGCACUUUCGGUUGGGAAGAAAAGUUUGGCGCCAAUACCGCCGAACCUUGACGUUACUGACAGAAGAAGCACCGGCUAACUCUGUGCCAGCAGCCGCGGUAAUACAGAGGGUGCAAGCGUUAAUCGGGAUCACUGGGCGGGAAGCGCACGUCGGUUGUCAAAGCCCCGGGCUUAAACUGGGAACUGCAUUCGAUACUGCAUGGCUAGAGUAUGGUAGAGGGAAGUGGAAUUUCCGGUGUAGCGGUGAAAUGCGUAGAUAUCGGAAGGAACACCGAUGGCGAAGGCAGCUUCCUGGACUAAUACUGACACUGAGGCACGAAAGCGUGGGUAGCAAACAGGAUUAGAUACCCGAGUAGUC
rnacentral:rRNA from 1 species